rnacentral:rRNA from 1 species
UGGGGAAUAUUGCACAAUGGGCGCAAGCCUGAUGCAGCCAUGCCGCGUGUAUGAAGAAGGCCUUCGGGUUGUAAAGUACUUUCAGCGGGGAGGAAGGGAGUAAAGUUAAUACCUUUGCUCAUUGACGUUACCCGCAGAAGAAGCACCGGCUAACUCCGUGCCAGCAGCCGCGGUAAUACGGAGGGUGCAAGCGUUAAUCGGAAUUACUGGGCGUAAAGCGCACGCAGGCGGUUGAUUGAGUCAGAUGUGAAAUCUCCGGGCUUAACCCGGGAAUUGCAUCUGAUACUGGUCAGCUAGAGGCUUGUAGAGGGAGGUAGAAUUCCAUGUGUAGCGGUGAAAUGCGUAGAGAUGUGGAGGAAUACCGGUGGCGAAAGCGGCCCCCUGGACAAAGACUGACGCUCAGGUGCGAAAGCGUGGGGAGCAAACAGG